CCCACUUCCUCAUCCAAGCCUGAGUGCCUUUACAGCCACGAGGAUCCUGUUCUUUUUAAAUCGCCACACGUGAAUGAUCAGCAGCAUCACACAGGCAGAGCAGGACUUUCUGGAGGAAACCGCAGCACUGGACGGGAGACUGACAGAACGAAGUAGAUAAAGAGGAAGAAUGGGAUGCAGUGGAGAAACUUCCAGGCAGACUUUAAUAUACUAGUCCUUCUAGCAGCUUUUAUGCAUGCGUCAACACAAAACAUUGUUCUGGUAACCUUGUUUUGCAGGAUUCAGUGAAGCCUUUGUUAUUCAAGGCUAAAUGUAUUUGACAUCUGUGGCUUUUCACUUGACUUGUUUGUAUUUUUCAUGAGCAAUUGAGCAAGUAUUAAAGUUAUACUGUGUGUGAA